rnacentral:rRNA from 1 species
GAACAAGCGAGUAUAAAAGGGUAUGCAGGCCUCGACACACUGAGCAGAUCAACGAGCGAGGCCAAGCAACGCAUACCACUGCUUCACUUACUCGAUCGGCCAAAGCAAGCAAGUGAGGUGAUCAUGGGCGGCGGGCACGACAUGCACGGCGGACACAACGGCGGCGUGAAGGGCUUCGUGUCCAGCCUCGUCGGCGGCGGCAAAAGCCACGGGUACGGCGGCCAGGGGCACGGCUGCGACCAGGGCUACGGCGGCCACGGGCAGCAGCAGCAGCACGGCUACGGCGGCCACGUGCAGCAGCACGGCUACGGCGGCCAUGGGCAGCAGCAGGGGUACGGCGGCCACGGGCAGCACGGGUACCCUCCGCCCGCCGCCGCGGCUUGCCCCCCGUACGGCGGCUACCCGGCGCAAGGCUACGCGCCGGCGGCUUACCCCGCGCAGCCCGCGCCACACCACGGUGGGCACAUGGGAUCGUACCACACCGGGCACGGCGGCGGGCACGGGCACGGCUACUCCGGCGGGAAGCACAUGGGCGGCGGGAAGCACGGCGGCAGGAAGUGGAAGUGAAGUGGCCGAUAGCUGCCGCCGGUCGGUCGCCCGCGCGCUCACGUACGCACCUGCUGCGUGCCUUAGCUAAGUAUAACCGUACCAUGGAUGCUCCGUAUGUAUACGUACGUAAAUAAAGGGCAACGUACGCGCCACGCGCGUGUGCGUACGUUAGCUUAUCGCCUGAGCUGGUGGUUCUGUGUAGUGAUGCUGUGAGUGUGGUGUGUGUGACGACCCAGUACAAAAUAAAGCCUACAGCUCGUACUAUAUGUACCGAGCAAUACUGUUGCACCGUGUCAUGUGUCGUGUAUAUGAUCCGAGUGUACUACAGUCUACAGCUCACAAACAAAAUAAAUGCUGCCUGCUAAAAUCCUG